CAGCCUGGGCGGCCGCUGCUGCCUGUAACUGCUCGCUGCGGCGCUGCUGCUGCUCGCUGGUCGUUUUUUCCCUGGAAGGCAGCGGAGGCGGCGGCGGUUGCUCCAGACACCUGCGGCGGCGACCCCCCGGCGGCGGCGGCGGCGGCGCGGAGAUGUGGCCCUUGGUGGCGGCGCUGUUGCUGGGCUCCUGCUGCUGCGGUUCAGCGCAACUACUGUUAAGUAAAGUCAAAUCUGUAGAAUACACUUCGUGCAAUGAGACUGUCGUCAUCCCGUGCAUCGUCCUCAAUGUGGAGGCACAGAGCACUGAAGAAAUGUAUGUCAAGUGGAAGUUAAACAAAACGUACAUUUUCAUCUAUGAUGGGAGCAAUAACAACUCUACUGUAGAGACUAGCUUUGCCAGCGCAAAAAUCUCCGUCUCAGACUUACUGAAAGGCGAUGCCUCUUUGAAAAUGAGUAAGCACAAUGCCGUCGUGGGAAACUAUACGUGUGAAGUUACAGAGUUAUCCAGAGAAGGCAAAACGGUGAUAGAGCUGAAGUACCGUAUGGACGUCAACUGUUGCCAAGGAUCAGACUGUUCUAACCACACUACCCCAGCAGGGGACGACAAGGAGAAAGGAGGUUGCAGAUUAGCAUCAUGGUUUUCUCCAAAUGAAAAGAUCCUCAUUGUUAUUUUCCCAAUUUUGGCUAUACUCCUGUUCUGGGGAAAGUUUGGUAUUUUAACACUGAAAUAUAAAUCCACUCGCACGAAUAAGAGAAUCAUUCUGCUGCUCAUCGCUGGGACUGUGCUCACUGUCAUCGUCAUUGUUGGAGCCAUCCUCCUCAUCCCGGGAGAAAACCCUGUAAAGAGUGCUUCUGGACUUGGGCUCAUUGUCACCUCUAUAGGAAUAUUAAUACCACUUCAGUACAAUGUGUUUAUGACGGCUUUUGGAAUGACCUCCUUCACCAUCGCCAUAUUGAUCACUCAAGUGCUGGGCUAUGUCCUGGCUCUGGUUGGACUGUGUCUCUGCAUCAUGGCUUGUGAACCAGUGCACGGCCCCCUUUUGAUUUCAGGUUUGGGCAUCAUAGCUCUACCAGAAUUACUUGGACUAGUUUAUAUGAAAUUUAUCGAGUGGAGAGAGACCCCUUCAGUCAAUUGAAAGGCAAGAAAAAAGCUUCCAACCAGAGGACUAUACAACCUCCUAGGAAAGCUGUAGAGGAACCCCUUAACGCAUUUAAAGAAUCAAAAGGAAUGAUGAAUGAUGAAUAAGUGAGGGGAAGUGAUGGACUGUAACUGGAGUGUCCGAAGUGGAGGAAUACAUGUGUGUUUAAGCAUCAUGACCUUGAGGACUCAUGGCUGGCAAGAAGAAUACAAGCAACAGUAACUGAUUUUCAUCUAUGAAAGAACAUGUCAUUGACCCAUAGAUGAUUAUCCCAGUUCAGUUUAUAUUCAGAGCAGCUGUAAUUUACUUAAUAAAAGAAUUAUGAUUGUGUCGUGUAA